UCCCCCCGAUGCGUGCACUUUUCCUGCCCUCUUCCCACUUUUAUUGUGAUUUAAAAGCGGGACGGGGAGGGGAGGGGAGGCCGUUUUGGAGCGGGUCUCACUCCCGGGCCCUGCCUUUUCUUUUUCUUUUUUUCCCCCCUCCUGGAAAGGAGAGGUGCAGAAACAAGGGAUCUUGCUGGAAGCAAACAAGAAGGGGGUGGGGGGAGAAGAGAGGCGGACCUCGUUGCAAAGGCUCGCCUGGCCAAAUAAAAGCAAGGAAUCCCGAAGGAGCCGCCUCUCGCUUCCCCCCACCUCCCCUCCCGGAUCCCUGAUUGCUAAAUCUUUGCGGGCGGGUUUGCAUUUCAAUGGAUGAGAUAAAGAGGGAUCUUUGCAGCCCGAUCCUGUGCAAGUCAGAAUAGACUGAGGUACAGUACACCAAUAAGAUUUAUUGGCAUGUUUGCCAAGAAUAAAUUUCCAGCACAGUGUCCAAGGAAAACUGUGAAACAGCCUUCUAACCAAAACAAGCCAGAGCACCGUCUCUAACUUGGCACUUUCCAAAUGGAUUGGCAUUCCCAACUCCAGGGAAUUCUGGGAGUAUAAUUGUCAGAGCGGAAGAAAAUAUGCAAGAGAAACGGCCAUUGCAAGAAGUGCACUGCAUGUAACAAAGUGCAAUACAAAAGGAUGAUCUCAACUUUGAAAUGGACCUCUGCAGCCUCAGCCAUCUUUAUAUUUCUCAGCUUGCCACACAGUUGGCGGUGGGUGGGAGAAGAGGCUUGGAAUGUCACACCAGACAAUAACAACAGAUUGUCCUGUGGGAACCAAGAUCAUCCCAACCGAUGCUGGCCAGAAACUGGAAGGAGUUACCCAGGAGAUCCCAGAACACCUAAUUGGACAAUGUGACCUGUGACAAGGAGGGAGGGGAAUAUCUAUUCUUUAAUUAUACAAAAACCGAAGGAAUUAUUUAGAAUUGGUUUUGCUUUCACGUGUGCCAAAAUGAUGUACUCAAUAAAACAGUUCUUAAAAAGAUCUAAUUGUCUUGGAGUGCUGGCUUGGUUGGAUUGUCAGUCAGAACCUUGAUAUUAAACCAACUCUCACUUUUCAGACUUCAAUUAGCUAGCAAUCCCUCCAAGGUCCUGAGCCCCGACCGCCUACCCGGUCACCUUCAGGAGGAUGGAAAAGACUUAGGGAAGAUUGUUGAAAUGGAACACAAGGGAGAGCCUGUGACAAAGCCCAGCAGGGGUCCAGUGAAGUAGGUGCAGGGAGCAACCCAAGCAGAUUUCAGAGCCCAGGCAGUGGUGACCCGAUCAAAAGCUCGACCAGAGAGGACUGAGCGACAUGUGGUGCGUGAAGAAACCAUAGUGACCAGGGACUUUUAGCAGGUGGAGGAAGAUGUCUGGUGAGGGAGAACACCAAAAGUAGCUGAGGCCGAGUUUCCUUUGGUUUCGUCUCAGACUUUGUAUGUCCAGGCACCAUGGUAGAGGGUGAACAGGAUGGAGGAGUGGGAUGAUCAUGCAGAGUGGAGAUAUCUGACUGCCAGCUGCAGCCCAUCAGUGGAGCAGCUGAGAGAGAGGUUUUUCCACUUGGAUGUGCGCUGAGUGGAACUGAUACAGAGAAUGGAGUUGUUAGCCGAAGCCAGAAUCCAACCGAUCCUGUUGCCUCUGGCUAGUCAAGAGUCCAAGCCCAACUGCUGUAGCAGGAGCAACCAGUUCCCCACAGAGAGCCACCGCUUCAGCUAGUCCUACCCCGAGGCAGAGCCUCAUGAGGCAUCACUACACUGCGAGCCCAUCUGCAGGUGCUGUUGGCCGACCGCUGCCCCCAUCAGGAUGGCCCAGUGCCAGCUGUGGCCUUACUAACCUGGCCCUGGCUGGUUCUCUGGACACUGGGGGCCACCACCUGCAGACCCUCCACCGAUAAAGGCCAUGUUCAACAAAAGCCCAGAGAAACUGUUGUUCUUCCUGAACUAGGUGUAGGCCCACUUGGACUGAUAUGCCCCAUCUACCCUGAUGGGACAAUGGUGAAUGCUGUGACUGCCAACCUCAAAGAAGAAGCAGUGAAAUGGGUAACAGGCCUCCAUGAUGAAAGAGCACCAGAGUUGGGGAACAUUGAUGACUUCCUAGUGGAGUUUAGGGUCAGGUUUGAAGAUGAAACCCAAGUCUGGAAAGCAAAGUCAGAGAUACUCCCUUAGACAAGGGAGCUGACUGGUGGCGGAAUACAUCCAGGCGUUUCAGAAAGUCAUAGGCAAGUUGAGGCACUGACCAGAGCAGCUAGUGGUCUACCACUUCAGAGAUGGCUUGAAUCGAGAGUUAUUCUACACUUGCCUGUCCCAGGGAAUAUCAGACCGGAUCCGCAAAUGGUAUAGGAUGGUGACGGUGAUAGAUCUCGACAUGAGAGAAUACAAGAAACAUGGUACCCUCAAGCCAAAACUGAAGAGGAGCCAAGAGCGCCACUGGCUGCCCCCCCACCAGCUGUCCCCCCCACCAGACCACCUUGUGCUUUCAGUGUGGCCAGCAGGGCCAUAGGUCAAGUGAGUGACUGGCACCUGCUCCCAGACUAGUGACAAGAGCUCCCACCAAGCCCAAGAAGCCGCAGCAGAAGGGGUGAGAGAAAUUGAGUGUGGCGUGCCAAGUCAUAAAGUCUCCUCCCCUGGUAGUGAGAAAUAGGGAACUCCAGCCAAGGAGGACCAGCAACUGAUCCCCUACGAGAUCGAGGACAAAGGGGAGAAUGACCCAAUGAUAAGUAGAGCCAUCCACUCCUUUUCAAUCCCGGUGAAGAUUGUAGCACCCAAAUUGGGAGCCCAGAAAGAGAUGGAGGUACUAGUAGACUUAGGUUGCACCUGGUGUUUGAUGAGAAUGCCAACAGUGCUGUUCUGUCUCCUUCCCCACUUCAGACCCACGAGCUGCCCUUUAGCCAGCGGAUUCACGGCUCUUAUCAGUCCUGGCAGAGAAAUCGCAGCUGCCUGCCAAAGUUCAAACAAAUGACUCAUGUAGCAAGACUUUCAGCUCUUUUUGAAACGGAUCAGCUAAACUUUGCUUCCCGUGGAGUGAGAGCAGUCCCAAAGCUCCUUAUAUAUGCUGUGGGGUGGGGCUCCUGCCCCACCCUUCCUUUUGAUGACACCGCCUCUCUAAUCUUCUGAAGCACGGGUCAAGCCAAGCUUGAUUAUUAUUAUCAGCUGGGUCUGAAGGCGUAGCCUGGGGAAGGGAGGAAUCAGGGGAUGACGGCCUCAUUACGUCCUCCGACUGGUCUGGUUCUGGCUUCUGGAGCCAAGCCAAAGGAAUCAGUGCUCCCGAGGUAAGCCUUACCGGCCCUUCCCCCUCACUCUCUGAGUCACUGUCGGGCAUGGGGCCAGGUUCAGGGGCUGGAGUCACAACAAGUGCUGAAGUUGGGAAUACGACAGAGAAAACUGCCCCAAUCAAUGAAGUUCAAGCAAAUGGAUGGCUCACUAAUAGGGGACUGCCCACGACGCACCUGACAGAGCUCAUGAGGCUAGAGAUAGGCCAGAAUCAAGAACCCAUCUGAUCAGUGGGUAGCACUGAAGACGGAGGCAGUAGUACUGGGGCUGUCCUGGUUAGAUAAGUGGGGGCAUAUCAUAUGGUGGCAGAAAGAGGAAAGAAAGCUGAAGCUGGGGAAGAGGCUCCCUCUUCAAUAAGAAACCUUGAAGGAAAGGCAGAACAGCAGAGAGUUAAGGGGGAGUCACGACACCAAAAAACCUGGCCACUUUGGGUUUUUAAAAACACAUUUAGUGAAAAGACAAUUUUGAUGGCAAGGAAUGAAAAAGGACAUAGAAAGCUAUGUAAAAAGUUGUGCAGUGUGUGUGGCAAUGAAAAAGAGACCAGGGAACAACAAGUAACAGAGCUGUCCAGGCCCUGAAAGGAGAUAGCAAUGGACUUUAUAGUUGAACUCCCAAAGUAGAGAAGCACUGUAAUUUGGACAGUGAUAGAAAUUUUGUAGCCUGCUCAAGCCUCCCAUCUGCCCAGAAACUGGCCUAGAUCUUCUUUCAGCAUAUCUACCAACUGCAUGUAGUAUCAAAAAGAAUCAUCUUGGAUUGGGAGGUCCAAUUUACUGAUACAUUUUGGAGAAAGUUCAUAAAGUUGAUAGGAUCUUCCCAAGGGCUUAGUUACACAUUUCAUCCAAAUACAAAUGGGGCUGUAGAACGAGUGAAUGCAAUGAUAGAACAAUACUUAAGGCACUGGUAAUCAAUCUGGUCCCUACCGCCCACUAGUGGGCGUUCAGCUUUCAUGUGGGCGGUAGGGGUUUUGUCCAAUACUGAAGCACUUUCCUUUUUUUUAAUUUAAUUGACUUUUUAAAAAAAAUUUCAUAGCAUUAUUUAAAAACAUUUUCAUUAGGUUUUCAUAAAAUUCCCGGUGACAAUUUAAAUUUCUGAAAAUAUACUAUUUGUUUCACCCGCGCAUAAGUUUAGUUCACGUUACGUAAGUGAAACUAAAUGGCACUAUAGUGCAACCGCAAACAAAAGAGCCUCGUCCCAGAAUAGCUCGCGCAUCUCCCCCCACACCACCCAGCUGUAACAGACAAGCAGAGCUGGUAGCCGGUGCCCCCCCCCCCAAACCCAAUCCACGAUGCGCGAGAAGCAUGCGCAGACAAUGAUACACGGCACAUUACUGUGGAACUGGUGGGCGGUUAGAAAAUUUUACUACUAACAGAGAUACAAAAAUGGGCGGUAGGUAUAAAAAGGUUGACUACCCCUGACUUAAGGUGUUAUGUCAACUAUCAGCUGCCUGUCUAAUUGGGCAGACUUCCUGCCAUUUGCUGAAGUUGCAUACAACAAUGCAGUACAUAGCAACACAGGGCUUACCCCAUUCAAAAUAGUGGAGUUUGUCCCCAUGCUAGAAUACCUUCAGGAGCCCCCCUCCUCAGUAAGCAUAAUGGAGUGGGUGGGUUCUUUGUAAAACACAUGGGGGAAUGUAAAGCGAGUACUGACUAAAAUGACAGAAAAUCAGAAAAUACAGUCAGACAAGAGGCAAGUGCCUCAGAAACCAUUUUACAUAGGAGAGAAAGUAUCUGAAAUUAAAGUUGCCCUGUCGAAAGCUGGGUCCAAAGUUUAUAGGUCCUUUCCCCAUAAUGAAAAUUAUAAAUCCAGCCACAGUAGGAUUAAAACUGCCAUGUCUACUGGGGAAAAUGCAUCCAGUGUUUCACUGUACUCUGCUUAAGCCAGGUUGGAGCUAAGGCCAGUAGCAAGGAUAGCUCCAGGUCCAAUUGUAGUGAAGGGGAAGAAACACUAUGAGGUGAAGAGGGUCCUGGAUUCUAGACUGUACAAGGGGAAAUUCCAGUAACUAGUCCAGUGGAAGGGAUAUGAUGCCAAAAGCUAGAUGGAUAAAAUUGCAGAAUAUGAAGGCAAACAGAUUAAUAAAGAAGUUUCACAAGAAAUACCCCCAGAAACUGAAAGGGACACACGGAACCCCUGAGUUCUAUUAAUAUGUGUAUGUGUUUAAUGUCUUCCAGGUGCUUUUCUCUUUCAGGGGGAUCCAAUUGUCAACUUCGAAACUGACCCCUGAUGCUGCAGCCAUCUUUAUAUUUCUCAGCUUGCCACACGGGGGGUGGGUGGGUGGGCAGGGGGAGAGGCUUGGAAUGUCACACCAGACAAUAACAGGUCAUCCCAAUUGGUGCUGUCCAGAGACUGGAAGGAGUUACCCGGGAGACACCUGUCACAACAAGGGAAGGGAAUAUCUAUUCUUUAAUUAUAUGAAAACCGCAGGAAUUAUUUAGAGUUGGUUUUGCUUUCAUGCCUGCCAAAAUGAUGUGCUCAAUAAAACAGUUCUUAAAGUGAUCUAAUCUAAUAGAAAGAGUGCAGAGAAGAGCAACCAAGACGAUUAGGGGAUUGGAGGCUAAAACAUACAGUGAAUGGUUGCAGGAACUGGGCAUCGCUUGUCUAAUGAAAAGAUGGAGCAGGGGAGACAUGAGAGCAGUGUUCCAAUAUUUGAGGGACUGUCACGGAGAGGAAGGGGUCAAGCUAUUUUCCAAAGCACCGGAAGGCCAGACAAGGAAUAAUGGAUGGAAAUUGAACAAGGAGAGGUUCAACCUGGAAAUGAGAAUCUUUCUGACAAUGAGAGCAAUCAACUAAUGCAAUGGUUCUCAACCUUUAUAGUGCUGCGACCCCUUUAAUACAAUUCCCCACGAUGUGGCGACCCCUUUAAUACAAUUCCCCAUGAUGUGGCAACCCCAACCAUAAAAUUAUUUUCGUUUUGAAUUUAUCGCGCCUGAAGCCAUAUUGGCUAGCGAUCUGAACUGCUUGCGAUUGCCUUGAGGACAGAGGCAUUAAAGCGGAGACUCCUCCCCUAUUAAGUUUAUCGCGCCUGAAGCCAGAUUAGGCUAGCGAUUGGGAGUGAUUGCAGCUGGCUUGAGAGGGAGACAGCAGAGCAAAGAUUUCUCUUUUUUAAUUCAUCGCGCCUGAAGCUGAAUUCGGCUAGCGAUUUGAAGAACCUGCAGCUGGCUUGUGGAGUCAACCAUUGGAGCGCGAUUCUUCGACUCGCAAGUAUAUUUCCCAUUAUUUCCGAUGGCCUUAGGCGACCCCUGGCAAAUCGCCAUUCGACCCCCAACGGGGUCCCGACCCACAGGUUGAGAACCGCUGAACUAAUGGAACAGCUUGCCUUCAGAAGUUGUGGGAACUUCAUCACGGGAAGCUUUCAAGAUGAGACUGAACUGCCAUCUGUCAGAAACGGUGUAGGGUCUCCUGCUUGGGUGAGGGGUUAGACUAGAUGACCUAUAAGGUCCCUUCCAUCUCUUUUAAUCUGUUAGGCUUGGUUGGGUUUGUCAGUCAGAACCUUGAUAGAUACCUUCAAAUAGAAGGACUGUCCUCUGUAAAGCAGAACAUGUAGCCUUCCUACUUCAUAAAUUUCAUGUGGAAAAAAAAAGUCCAUUCAUGUUCCUUGAUAAGAGUUCAUAAGGGAAGAAAGUCCAUUCCUAAUGCUAAGGAAUUUUAUGUGUUCUCUCGUUCCAACAAGCGCUGAAUCCUGCACUGUCCUUGAUCUCAGGAGAAUGAGGCAGACAAGAAUGCUAAAUCCUAACUGUACAGAGCAAGGAUUAUAGAUCUAAUAAUACCACUAUUGUGACAGGCGGGCAAUUCUCCUUUGGGCCUGGAAGAAUUCCUCAGAGAAAACAGCCUCAGAAUCCCACUCUCAAUGUAUCUGACUAGCUAAAAAAGAAGCUGUUUCAUAUCAGACCACAAACUGUUUUUGUUUUUCUAAUUUAGGAACUAUGGGGAGAGAAUAACAUUUUAGCAUCUUUUUAUCUCCCCGUUUUUUCAUCUCCAAAAGCUGAAUCCAUGAAAGGAAGAAACAAUAAAAGUGUGUGUUGUUGGCAGUGAAUAUCAGGAGCUAUUCUUGAUUGACAAAUUGGGGGCUCAAUGGAACUCAUUAAAUCUGACCUUGGGCCUCUUCUGGAAAAUAAGAAUAUUAGAGCCUUGUUCCCAUGCUGUUAAAAUACUUUGAUUCCUCAAUUGAUCAACUAAAUGUGCUUUUCUUCU